AGAGUUUGAUCAUGGCUCAGAAUCAACGCUGGCGGCAUGCCUAACACAUGCAAGUCGAACGCGAAAGGGUCCUUCGGGAUCUGAGUAGAGUGGCGUCCGGGUGAGUAACGCGUAGAUCAUCUACCUUCGGGUGGGGAAUAACUCAGGGAAACUUGAGCUAAUACCGCAUAACAUCGAAAGAUCAAAGCAGGGGAUCGCAAGACCUUGCGCCUGAAGAGGAGUCUGCGUCUGAUUAGCUAGUUGGUAAGGUAAUGGCUUACCAAGGCUUCGAUCAGUAGCUGGUCUGAGAGGACGGCCAGCCACAUUGGCACUGAAACACGGGCCAAACUCCUACGGGAGGCAGCAGUGGGGAAUUUUGGGCAAUGGGCGAAAGCCUGACCCAGCAAUGCCGCGUGAACGAUGAAGUCCUUCGGGAUGUAAAGUUCGGAAGUAAGGAACGAAAAGCUAUAGGAUAAUACCCUGUAGUGCUGACGGUACCUUAUCUAAGCCCCGGCUAACUACGUGCCAGCAGCCGCGGUAAUACGUAGGGGGCAAGCGUUGUUCGGAAUUACUGGGCGUAAAGCGCGCGUAGGCGGUUUGAAAAGUCAGAUGUGAAAGCCCCGGGCUCAACUUGGGAACUGCAUUUGAUACUGUCAGACUAGAGUACAGAAGAGGUGACUGGAAUUCCCAGUAGCGGUGAAAUGCGUAGAUAUUGGGAGGAACACCAGAUGCGAAGGCGGGUCACUGGGCUGAUACUGACGCUGAAGUGCGAAAGCCAGGGGAGCGAACGGGAUUAGAUACCCCAGUAGUCC
rnacentral:rRNA from 1 species